AUUGAACGCUGGCGGCAGGCUUAACACAUGCAAGUCGAGCGGAGAUGAGGUGCUUGCACCUUAUCUUAGCGGCGGACGGGUGAGUAAUGCUCAGGAAUCUGCCUAUUAGUGGGGGACAACAUUACGAAAGGAAUGCUAAUACCGCAUACGUCCUACGGGAGAAAGCAGGGGAUCUUCGGACCGUGCGCUAAUAGAUGAGCCUAAGUCGGAUUAGCUAGUUGGUGGGGUAAAGGCCUACCUAGGCGACGAUCUGUAGCGGGUCUGAGAGGAUGAUCCGCCACACUGGGACUGAGACACGGCCCAGACUCCUACGGGAGGCAGCAGUGGGGAAUAUUGGACAAUGGGGGGAACCCUGAUCCAGCCAUGCCGCGUGUGUGAAGAAGGCCUUAUGGUUGUAAAGCACUUUAAGCGAGGAGGAGGCUACUGAGACUAAUACUCUUGGAUAGUGGACGUUACUCGCAGAAUAAGCACCGGCUAACUCUGUGCCAGCAGCCGCAGUAA
rnacentral:rRNA from 1 species